ACGCUCGACACCUACGGGAAGCAGCAGUGGGGAAUAUUGGGCAAUGGGCGCAAGCCUGACCCAGCAACGCCGCGUGAAGGAAGAAGGCCCUCGGGUUGUAAACUUCUUUUGACAGGGACGAAACAAAUGACGGUACCUGUCGAAUAAGCCACGGCUAACUACGUGCCAGCAGCCGCGGUAAUCUGAGCGGGCUGGCAAGGC
rnacentral:rRNA from 1 species